UGUCGCAAGAGAGCGAGGGAGUGGCGGACGGGUGAGUAACACAUGGGUGACCUACCCUAAAGAGAGGGAUACCGGCGAGAAAUUGCCGACAAGCCCGCAUGGGUUCUUGCUGGUAGAGCAGUGAGAGCAAAGUUUCUUUUUCGGAAGAGACGCUUUGGGAUGGGCCUGUGGCCGAUUAGCUAGUUGGUGAGGUAAGAGCUCACCAAGGCGUCGAUCGGUAGCUGGUCUGAGAGGACGAUCAGCCACACUGGGAUUGAGAACGGCCCAGACUCCUACGGGGGGCAGCAGUGAGGAAUUUUCCGCAAUGGAGGAAACUCUGACGGAGCAACGCCGCGUGCAGGAGGACGCUUUUCGGA
rnacentral:rRNA from 1 species